rnacentral:tRNA from 2 species
GCCUCGGUAGCUCAGCAGGUAGAGCGUCCGCCUCGUAAGCGGAAGGUCGCGGGUUCAAAGCCCGCCCGAGGCU